rnacentral:rRNA from 1 species
UCGGGCGGUAACAGGUGUAGCAAUACAUGCUGACGAGCGGCGAACGGGUGAGUAACGCUUCGGAAUCUACCCAUGGGUGGGGAAUAACCAGCCGAAAGGUUGGCUAAUACCGCAUACGUCCUACGGGGGAAAGCAGGGGAUCGCAAGACCUUGCGCCGAUGGAUGAGCCGAAGCCGGAUUAGCUAGUUGGUAGGGUAACGGCCUACCAAGGCGACGAUCCGUAGCUGGUCUGAGAGGACGACCAGCCACACUGGGACUGAGACACGGCCCAGACUCCUACGGGAGGCAGCAGUGGGGAAUAUUGGACAAUGGGGGAAACCCUGAUCCAGCGACGCCGCGUGUGUGAAGAAGGCCUGCGGGUUGUAAAGCACUUUUAGUGGGGAUGAAAAGUUCAGGGCUAAUACCCCCUGGAUCUUGACCUAACCCACAGAAAAAGCACCGGCUAACUCUGUG